rnacentral:lncRNA from 1 species
ACUUACCUGGCAAGGCUGAGGGAGACGGCUGCUUCAAUGGAGGACUGUUGGAUGUUCACGGCGUGGAAGAGCUGCUGGGGUGGUGCAGCUGCAGGGUGAAGGCGAAGAUGAAGGUGACGACCGGUUAGCUCUGGCCGGACAAUGUCUUCUCCCUCCUGGUUUCUUGUCUAUCAGUCCUCUCUCUCCCAUUCUCUCCUUCUCUUCUCCUUCUUCGUCUGUUCCUGGAAUCUGCUGCUUUUAAACGAAGAUGGCGGUGUAGAAGGGCUGUUCCACCAACACUGCUUCCUCUCCUCUGUUUUAGCUUUCCUGCCUCUUUGUUUUUCUCCGUUCUCGGUCGCUCUCUAUCUCUCCUGCCGGUUCCCUUUUUUUUCUUCGUCUGUGAGUUCAGUGG